AAAAAAAGAAAAAAAAAAGGAAGAUUGUUAUCGUCUCCGGCCAAGAAACCGAUCACAAAAUGAAGGAUUACUCCAAAAUCGGCGGUAAAUCGACGAUGCAGAGAACAAGCCGACGAUUGGAAGGUACCGCCAUGGGCUCCACAGUCUUCGAUCUCAAACCCGGCGUCGGCAUCGGACCUUUCUAUAUCGGUAUACGAUUUCUCUCAAAAUCUCUGCUGCGUUUCUUUAGUUUCGGAACUCGAGGAUCAGUUAAUCAUCGUUAUCGGACUUGGAAGAUGACGAUCGGCAUCGGUUUGCGAUCGGCGAUUGCGUGCCGUUUUAGGAUUCUUUUGAUUGCGUAUAGUAUUAGCAACCGUUGUAUUUUAGUUCACCAUAAAACGUUAACAGCUCUGAUAAAAAAGUUACUACAAUAUAAAUAUUAUAAUCAGAAUAAUAUGUUUAAAAUUUCUACGUUGAAUUAAAACGAUAAAUCUUCUAAAUAGACCUAAAAAUAUGUUAUGACUAAAAAGAUAGACAAGGAUAAAAAUGAUCAUAAUAUGAUUUAUUACAGAGGUAAAAACAUUUAUACUCAUAUCAUAUACAUAUAUAUAUAUAUAAAUAUUUAGUAUUAUACAUAUUAUAUACAUACAUAUUAUAAAUAUUAUACAUAUUUAUAUUAAAAUAAAAUAUUCAAAACUUUUUUCAAAAUUUUUGGUUUUAAAACUUAAAAAAGAAUUUGAUUUUUUCCCAAAAAUAGACAAGAUUCGGCAACUACUCAAUUUUCACAUUUAGACUAUAGAAAAUUGUUACUUCAGAGCAGUGGCGGAGCUAAGUGGUGGGGAGGAGGGUCAGCUGACCCCUGUGAUUUUUUGAAAUUAUGAAAUUUAUUUAUUUAUAUUACGCAGUUGCUAGAAUAUUUGGUUAAAAAUCACCGGGUUGACCCCUAUAACUCAAGAUCAAUGGCGGAACCAGGAAGGAUUUUUACUUGUGUCAAGAUAUAUACUUAAAAAAAAUAGAGGUAUCAGUGAUUGUAUUUGAACCAUGGUUUAGGGGUGUUAAAGAGGGUCACUUAACCACUAGAACUACUGAAUUUACAUGUAUUUUGUGAACAAAACAGAAUAUUUAGAGAUUUAACGGGUGUUAGAUGACACCCCAUCUCUCUACAUGGAUUUGCCACUACUCAAGAUCAAUUCUUUUUUUGACCGAUCUUUAUAAUCUCUUAAUAAUAUUACAUAACUAAUUUUAGUAAAUGACCCCUAUAAAAUUUGAUCCUGGCCACUGCUACAGAGAGAGAAAAGAUUUUUUUCUCGAAAUUCUUUUUUCAAAACUCAUUUUCCAGAUAAUUUUAUAACUUAAAUUUUGAAUCCGAACUCGAAUCCCUAAAUCCUUUACCUAAUCAAGUCUCUAAAAUCUAAGUCUUAAUCUAGGGAAAAUCUUUGUUACCUAUUUAAUACUAAAACGUAGGUUAUUUUAAUUUUUAGAAACUAUUUUUGUAUAAAAUUGUUUUUAGUGUUAUCUUACUGUAUUCCUCAGUUAAAAAAGUUAAAUGAAUUUAGUACGUCAACUGCGAAAAGACCCGACCCGUCUUCAUAAGUAACCUUUUUUGGGUGUAAAAGUAGUUAUCCUCUCUUGCGCGCAACAACAACCCAAAAAAAAAAGAAAAAAAAAGGAAGAUUGUUAUCGUCUCCGGCCAAGAAACCGAUCACAAAAUGAAGGAUUACUCCAAAAUCGGCGGUAAAUCGACGAUGCAGAGAACAAGCCGACGAUUGGAAGGUACCGCCAUGGGCUCCACAGUCUUCGAUCUCAAACCCGGCGUCGGCAUCGGACCUUUCUAUAUCGGUAUGCGAUUUCUCUCAAAAUCUCUGCUGCGUUUCUUUAGUUUCGGAACUCGAGGAUCAGUUAAUCAUCGUUAUCGGACUUGGAAGAUGACGAUCGGCAUCGGUUUGCGAUCGGCGAUUGCGUGCCGUUUUAGGAUUCUUUUGAUUGUGUAUAGUAUUAGCAACCGUUGUAUUUUAGUUCACCAUAAAACGUUAACAGCUCUGAUAAAAAAGUUACUACAAUAUAAAUAUUAUAAUCAGAAUAAUAUGUUUAAAAUUUCUACGUUGAAUUAAAACGAUAAAUCUUCUAAAUAGACCUAAAAAUAUGUUAUGACUAAAAAGAUAGACAAGGAUAAAAAUGAUCAUAAUAUGAUUUAUUACAGAGGUAAAAACAUUUAUACUCAUAUCAUAUACAUAUAUAUAUAUAUAAAUAUUUAGUAUUAUACAUAUUAUAUACAUACAUAUUAUAAAUAUUAUACAUAUUUAUAUUAAAAUAAAAUAUUCAAAACUUUUUUCAAAAUUUUUGGUUUUAAAACUUAAAAAAGAAUUUGAUUUUUUCCCAAAAAUAGACAAGAUUCGGCAACUACUCAAUUUUCACAUUUAGACUAUAGAAAAUUGUUACUUCAGAGCAGUGGCGGAGCUAAGUGGUGGGGAGGAGGGUCAGCUGACCCCUGUGAUUUUUUGAAAUUAUGAAAUUUAUUUAUUUAUAUUACGCAGUUGCUAGAAUAUUUGGUUAAAAAUCACCGGGUUGACCCCUAUAACUCAAGAUCAAUGGCGGAACCAGGAAGGAUUUUUACUUGUGUCAAGAUAUAUACUUAAAAAAAAUAGAGGUAUCAGUGAUUGUAUUUGAACCAUGGUUUAGGGGUGUUAAAGAGGGUCACUUAACCACUAGAACUACUGAAUUUACAUGUAUUUUGUGAACAAAACAGAAUAUUUAGAGAUUUAACGGGUGUUAGAUGACACCCCAUCUCUCUACAUGGAUUUGCCACUACUCAAGAUCAAUUCUUUUUUGACCGAUCUUUAUAAUCUCUUAAUAAUAUUACAUAACUAAUUUUAGUAAAUGACCCCUAUAAAAUUUGAUCCUGGCCACUGCUACAGAGAGAGAAAAGAUUUUUUUCUCGAAAUUCUUUUUUCAAAACUCAUUUUCCAGAUAAUUUUAUAACUUAAAUUUUGAAUCCGAACUCGAAUCCCUAAAUCCUUUACCUAAUCAAGUCUCUAAAAUCUAAGUCUUAAUCUAGGGAAAAUCUUUGUUACCUAUUUAAUACUAAAACGUAGGUUAUUUUAAUUUUUAGAAACUAUUUUUGUAUAAAAUUGUUUUUAGUGUUAUCUUACUGUAUUCCUCAGUUAAAAAAGUUAAAUGAAUUUUGUACGUCAACUGCGAAAAGACCCGACCCGUCUUCAUAAGUAACCUUUUUUGGGUGUAAAAGUAGUUAUCCUCUCUUGCGCGCAACAACAACCCAAAAAAAAAAGAAAAAAAAAAAGAAAGAUUGUUAUCGUCUCCGGCCAAGAAACCGAUCACAAAAUGAAGGAUUACUCCAAAAUCGGCGGUAAAUCGACGAUGCAGAGAACAAGCCGACGAUUGGAAGGUACCGCCAUGGGCUCCACAGUCUUCGAUCUCAAACCCGGCGUCGGCAUCGGACCUUUCUAUAUCGGUAUGCGAUUUCUCUCAAAAUCUCUGCUGCGUUUCUUUAGUUUCGGAACUCGAGGAUCAGUUAAUCAUCGUUAUCGGACUUGGAAGAUGACGAUCGGCAUCGGUUUGCGAUCGGCGAUUGCGUGCCGUUUUAGGAUUCUUUUGAUUGCGUAUAGUAUUAGCAACCGUUGUAUUUUAGUUCACCAUAAAACGUUAACAGCUCUGAUAAAAAAGUUACUACAAUAUAAAUAUUAUAAUCAGAAUAAUAUGUUUAAAAUUUCUACGUUGAAUUAAAACGAUAAAUCUUCUAAAUAGACCUAAAAAUAUGUUAUGACUAAAAAGAUAGACAAGGAUAAAAAUGAUCAUAAUAUGAUUUAUUACAGAGGUAAAAACAUUUAUACUCAUAUCAUAUACAUAUAUAUAUAUAAAUAUUUAGUAUUAUACAUAUUAUAUACAUACAUAUUAUAAAUAUUAUACAUAUUUAUAUUAAAAUAAAAUAUUCAAAACUUUUUUCAAAAUUUUUGGUUUUAAAACUUAAAAAAGAAUUUUGAUUUUUUCCCAAAAAUAGACAAGAUUCGGCAACUACUCAAUUUUCACAUUUAGACUAUAGAAAAUUGUUACUUCAGAGCAGUGGCGGAGCUAAGUGGUGGGGAUGAGGGUCAGCUGACCCCUGUGAUUUUUUGAAAUUAUGAAAUUUAUUUAUUUAUAUUACGCAGUUGCUAGAAUAUUUGGUUAAAAAUCACCGGGUUGACCCCUAUAACUCAAGAUCAAUGGCGGAACCAGGAAGGAUUUUUACUUGUGUCAAGAUAUAUACUUAAAAAAAAUAGAUGUAUCAGUGAUUGUAUUUGAACCAUGGUUUAGGGGUGUUAAAGAGGGUCACUUAACCACUAGAACUACUGAAUUUACAUGUAUUUUGUGAACAAAACAGAAUAUUUAGAGAUUUAACGGGUGUUAGAUGACACCCCAUCUCUCUACAUGGAUUUGCCACUACUCAAGAUCAAUUCUUUUUUGACCGAUCUUUAUAAUCUCUUAAUAAUAUUACAUAACUAAUUUUAGUAAAUGACCCCUAUGAAAUUUGAUCCUGGCCACUGCUACAGAGUGAGAAAAGAUUUUUUUCUCGAAAUUCUUUUUUCAAAACUCAUUUUCCAGAUAAUUUUAUAACUUAAAUUUUGAAUCCGAACUCGAAUCCCUAAAUCCUUUACCUAAUCAAGUCUCUAAAAUCUAAGUCUUAAUCUAGGGAAAAUCUUUGUUACCUAUUUAAUACUAAAACUUAGGUUAUUUUAAUUUUUAGAAACUAUUUUUGUAUAAAAUUGUUUUUAGUGUUAUCUUACUGUAUUCCUCAGUUAAAAAAGUUAAAUGAAUUUAGUACGUCAAGUGCGAAAAGACCCGACCCGUCUUCAUAAGUAACCUUUUUUGGGUGUAAAAGUAGUUAUCCUCUCUUGCGCGCAACAACAACCCAAAAAAAAAAAGAAAAAAAAAAAGGAAGAUUGUUAUCGUCUCCGGCCAAGAAACCGAUCACAAAAUGAAGGAUUACUCCAAAAUCGGCGGUAAAUCGACGAUGCAGAGAACAAGCCGACGAUUGGAAGGUACCGCCAUGGGCUCCACAGUCUUCGAUCUCAAACCCGGCGUCGGCAUCGGACCUUUCUAUAUCGGUAUGCGAUUUCUCUCAAAAUCUCUGCUGCUUUUCUUUAGUUUCGGAACUCGAGGAUCAGUUAAUCAUCGUUAUCGG
rnacentral:lncRNA from 1 species